AACGCUAGCUACAGGCUUAACACAUGCAAGUCGAGGGGAAACGACAUCGAAAGCUUGCUUUUGGUGGGCGUCGACUGGCGCACGGGUGAGUAACGCGUAUCCAACCUGCCCACCACUUGGGGAUAACCUUGCGAAAGUAAGACUAAUACCCAAUGAUAUCCCACGAAGGCAUCCGAAUGGGAUUAAAGAUUUAUCGGUGAUGGAUGGGGAUGCGUCUGAUUAGCUUGUUGGCGGGGUAACGGCCCACCAAGGCAACGAUCAGUAGGGGUUCUGAGAGGAAGGUCCCCCACAUUGGAACUGAGACACGGUCCAAACUCCUACGGGAGGCAGCAGUGAGGAAUAUUGGUCAAUGGGCGAGAGCCUGAACCAGCCAAGUAGCGUGCAGGACGACGGCCCUAUGGGUUGUAAACUGCUUUUAUAAGGGAAUAAAGUGAGUCUCGUGAGACUUUUUGCAUGUACCUUAUGAAUAAGGACCGGCUAAUUCCGUGCCAGCAGCCGCGGUAAUACGGAAGGUCCGGGCGUUAUCCGGAUUUAUUGGGUUUAAAGGGAGCGUAGGCCGGAGAUUAAGCGUGUCGUGAAAUGUAGGCGCUCAACGUCUGCACUGCAGCGCGAACUGGUUUCCUUGAGUACGCACAAAGUGGGCGGAAUUCGUGGUGUAGCGGUGAAAUGCAUAGAUAUCACGAAGAACUCCGAUUG
rnacentral:rRNA from 1 species